GCUCACCUGACUCUACUUGGGUUUUUGAAAUCAUACAAAAAAAGAUAAAAUUUGGCUACAAAGUUACAAAACUUGGUCAGCACCUCAUAAGGAACAUUCAUGCUAUGUUGGGUUCCAUUCCAUUCAGUGGUUCUCUAAAAGAAGACUUUUGUAUGCAUUUCCCAUAGGGUCCUAUGUUAAACUAAACCCCCUGCUGGCGGCCAUCUUGGAUGAUGGAUCGGCUACAAAGUAACAAUACUUGGUCAGCAUCUUAUAAGAAACAUUUAUGCUAUGUUUGAUUUCAUUCCAUUC
rnacentral:lncRNA from 1 species